rnacentral:rRNA from 1 species
GAUGAACGCUGGUGGCGUGCUUAACACAUGCAAGUCGAACGGUGAACACGGAGCUUGCUCUGUGGGAUCAGUGGCGAACGGGUGAGUAACGCGUGAGCAACCUGCCCCUGACUCUGGGAUAAGCGCUGGAAACGGCGUCUAAUACUGGAUACGAGUAGCGGCCGCAUGGUCAGUUACUGGAAAGAUUUUUUGGUUGGGGAUGGGCUCGCGGCCUAUCAGCUUGGUGGUGAGGUAAUGGCUCACCAAGGCGUCGACGGGUAGCCGGCCUGAGAGGGUGACCGGCCACACUGGGACUGAGACACGGCCCAGACUCCUACGGGAGGCAGCAGUGGGGAAUAUUGCACAAUGGGCGAAAGCCUGAUGCAGCAACGCCGCGUGAGGGAUGACGGCCUUCGGGUUGUAAACCUCUUUUAGCAGGGAAGAAGCGAAAGUGACGGUACCUGCAGAAAAAGCGCCGGCUAACUACGUGCCAGCAGCCGCAGUAA